rnacentral:rRNA from 1 species
UCCAAUCGAACCCGGAGAUAGCUGGUUCUCCUCGAAAUAGCUUUAGGGCUAGCCUCGGUGUGAGUCUUGCGGAGGUAGAGCACUGAAUUUCCUAGGGGGCGUCAAAGCCUACCGAAGAAUAUCAAACUGCGAAUGGCGGACAGAUGAUGCCAGGGAGUCAGACUGCACGAGAUAAGUUGGGUGGUCAAAAGGGAAAGAGCCCAGACCUACAGCUAAGGUCCCAAAGUGUGUGUUAAGUGGAAAAGGAUGUGGGAUUUCGAAGACAACUAGGAUGUUGGCUCAGAAGCAGCCACACAUUCAAAGAGUGCGUAAUAGCUCACUAGUCGAGAGGUCCUGCGCCGAAAAUGUCCGGGGCUAAAACACAACACCGAAGCUUAGGAAUUCUAAUGAAUUGGUAGAGGAGCAUUGAAGACGGAACGAAGCCAUACCGGAAGGAAUGGUGGACUGUCUUGAAGAGAGAAUGCCGGAAUGAGUAGCGAGAUUGAAGUGAGAAUCUUCAAGGCCGAAUAUCUAAGGUUUCCAGGGUAAAGCUGAUCUGCCCUGGGUAAGUCGGGGCCUAAGGCAAGGUCGAAAGACGUAGUCGAUGGAUAACAGGUUGAAAUUCCUGUACUGCAUCAAAUCAGAAAUGUGGGGACACAUGAGGGAAGCAUGAGCCGGAAAAGGAAAGUCCGGUACAAGCGCAGCAGAGGACAGAUAGGAAAAACCGUCUGUCAACUCGAGGGCGUGAUGUGGAGCGAACCAAAGUAGCGAAGCAUGUGGAGCUUGUGUCGAGAAAAGCCGCUAUAGUGUUUGAUGUACCCGUACCGUAAACCGACACAGGUGGAUGAGGAGAGAAUCCUAAGGCCGGCGGAAGAAGCAUUGUUAAGGAACUCGGCAAAAUGACCCCGUAACUUCGGGAGAAGGGGUGCUCCAGAGAUGGAGCCGCAGAGAACUGGCCCAAGCAACUGUUUAGCAAAAACACAGGUCUAUGCAAAACCGAAAGGUGAGGUAUAUGGGCUGACGCCUGCCCGGUGCUGGAAGGUUAAGAGGAGAGGUUAGCGCAAGCGAAGCUUUGAAUUUAAGCCCCAGUAAACGGCGGCCGUAACUAUAACGGUCCUAAGGUAGCGAAAUUCCUUGUCGGGUAAGUUCCGACCCGCACGAAAGGCGUAAUGAUUUGGGCACUGUCUCAACAAUGCACCCGGUGAAAUUGAAAUACCAGUGAAGAUGCUGGUUACCUGCGCCAGGACGGAAAGACCCCAUGGAGCUUUACUCUAGCUUGAUACUGGGGUUCGGUAUUGCAUGUACAGGAUAGGUGGGAGACUGAGAAGAUGUGUCGCCAGAUGCAUCAGAGUCGAUGUUGGGAUACCACCCCUGCAGUACUGGGCUUCUAACCUGCAGCCGUGACCCGGCUGGGGGACAAUGUCUGGUGGGGAGUUUGACUGGGGCGGUCGCCUCCGAAAGAGUAUCGGAGGCGCUCAAAGGUUCCCUCAGAAUGGUUGGAAACCAUUCGAAGAGCGCAAAGGCAGAAGGGAGCUUGACUGCGACACCGACGGGUGGAGCAGGUACGAAAG